GUCUUCUCUCUGUUUCCUCUCUUCGUCUAGUUUCCUUCUUCUUCGUGUUUUGCUAUUGAGCUUUCGUAGUGUUCUUUCAAUUUCGGGAUCAAAUUGAAAUUGCUCCUCGGUAGCCUUUCCUCACAUGCACUAGAAUCUACAAAACUAACAAACCAAGUGAAACACAAGAGUGAUAGUAGUAAAAUAAAAAAAAACUUAAAAUAAUGAAUUAUUGCAAUGCUUGCAAUAUCGAAC
rnacentral:lncRNA from 1 species